GGUUCGAUCCUGGCUCAGAUUGAACGCUGGCGGGAUGUUUACACAUGCAAGUCGAACGGCACGGACUUCGGUCUGGUGGCGAGUGGCGAACGGGUGAGUAAUGUAUCGGAACGUGCCUAGUAGCGGGGGAUAACUACGCGAAAGCGGUAACCAAUACCGCAUACUGCCCUUCGGGGGAAAGCGGGGACCUUCUGGCCUCGCACUAUUAGAGCGGCCGAUAUCGGAUUAGUUAGUUGGUGGGUAACGGCUCACCAUGACGAUCCGUAGCUGGUCGAGAGGACGACCAGCCACGACGGGACUGAGACACGGCCCAGACUCCUACGGGAGGCAGCAGUGGGGAAUUUUGGACAAUGGGGAAACCCUGAUCCAGCCAUCCCGCGUGUGCGAUGAAGGCCUUCGAAGUUGUAAAAGCACUUUUGGCAGGAAAGAAACGGCACGGAUAAUACCUCGUGCAACUGACGGUACCUGGCAGAAUAAGCACCGGCUAACCACGCCAGCAGCCGCGGUAAUACGUAGGGUGCAAGCGUUAAUCGGAAUUACUGGGCGUAAAGCGUGCGCAGGCGGUUCGAAAAGAGAUGUAAACCGAGCUUAACUUUGGGACUGCAUUUUAACUACCGAGCUAGAGUGUGUCAGAGGGAGGUGAAUUCGCGUGUAGCAGUGAAAUGCGUAGAUGGAGGAACACCGAUGGCGAAGGCAGCUCUCCUGGGAUAACACUGACGCUUAUACGAAAGCGUGGGGAGCAAACAGGAUUAGAUACCCGUAGUCCAGCCGCCCCAAACGAUGUCAACUGGCUGUUGGGGCCUUCGGGCCUUUCGGUAGCGCAGCUAACGCGUGAAGUUGACCGCCUGGGGAGUACAACGUGGGAAGAUUAAAACUCAAAGGAAUUGACGGGGACCCGCACAGCGGUGGAUGAUGUGGAUUAAUUCGAUGCAACGCGGAAAACUCCAUUUACCCUUGACAUGUCUGGAAUCCCGAAGAGAUUUGGGGGAGGUGUCACAAAAGAGAACCGGAACACAGGUGCUGCAUGGUUGCCGUCAGCUCGUGUCGUGAGAUGUUGGGUUAAGUCCCGCAACGAGCGGCAACCCUUGUCAUUAGUUGCUACGAAAGGGCACCUAAUGAGACUGCCGGUGACAAACCGGAGGAAGGUGGGGAUGGAGGGUAGUCGCCAAGUCCUCAUGGCCCUUAUGGUAGGGCUUCACACGCUGGGCACAAUGGUCGGGACAGAGGGUCGCCAACCCGCGAGGGGGAGCCAAUCCCAGAAACCCGAUCAAACUGAUCGCAGGCCCGCAAAUCGACUGCGCAGAAGUCGGAAUCGCUAGUAAUCAGUGAUCAGCAUGUUUGAAUACGCCCCGGUCUGUACACACCGCCCGUCACACCAUGUGAGUGUAUUAUCAGAAGUAGUUAGCCUAACCGUAAGGAGGGCGAUUACCACGGUAGGAUUCAUGACUGGGGUGAAGUCGUAACAAGGUAA
rnacentral:rRNA from 1 species